UUUUGUUAAAAAAAAGUUGAUUGAUAUUAUGAAAUUUAUAUGAUUUGGCGGUAUUUUAAAUAGUUAGAGGAAUUUGUCAAAUAAAUGAUAGUCCACGAGUGGAGGGUCCUAUUUAAGUUUUUAUGUAUUGUUGUUUUAAGAUUAGUUUAAGAGGAUAUAAUUGAUAAAUUAGAUAAAAUUUUAAUUCAAAUCAAAAUGUAGAAUUUUUAGGUUAUGAUGAGUUAUAGUUUAAUAUAAUGAGAUUAAGUUUUUAAUAAUUUAAUUGAAUAAGAUUUAAUAGUAAAUUUAUAAAAAUUUAUAAAUUGAAAUUUUAGAUAAAAUAUG
rnacentral:rRNA from 1 species